CUCCUCUCGAAGGAUGCAGCUCGCCGUUGCCGGUCGUUGCUGGAUACGGCUGCAACUCGCCGGCUGCCGGUUGUAUCACUGCCCCCAUGCUGGUUACACCUCUCCGGCCUCGUCGUGGAUACAUACUUUCACUACUAGAAAAACGCUUAUAGAUAGAAUUUUACUAGUAGCGCUGGUUUAAGCAGAAGCGCUACGGCUAAGUACCAGUAGCGCUAGAAAUAACAAGCUCUACCAUACAAUUUAGCAGCAGCGAUGGUUAGGGUGGACCGCGCUACUGUUAAAUGUGCCACACCACACGGCCAGGUCAAGAGACACUAGCAGCGCUUGGAACCUAUGCAAUGCUACAACUAAAGCAAUAGCACUAACGCUCUUUGUCGCCCCGCGCUACAGCUGUGGAUAGACAUCCACUGGCCCGACUGGCCUCCUCACCUCUCUCUCUCAUUUCUCUCUCUCUCUCUCUCUCUCCCACGCGAUCCCCAAAUCGCUGCCCCUGCCGCUGGCCUCCCUUGCCAACUCCGGCGAGCUCUGGCGCCGUCCAGCAUACCCACGGCUCCCCCUCACUGAGUUCUACCUGAUCCACCUUUUCGAUCUGCUUUCCCCUGCCUCGUGUGGUCGCUCGCUUCGGUCAAACCUUGCUAGGGUUUCGGUGCUUGCGGGGCUAGGUCGCCGGCGUGGUUCCGGCGCCUUGCUCUUGUGUGACUCGCCUCCUGGCUGUGCCCAGGUGUUGCACGCGUCACUAAUGCGGCCCAGUGGUCGCUGGCGAUGCGGCGGUCGCCUGCCUCUCCACGGCUUCGCGUACCUCCCCUCCUGCCGUCAUGUGACGACGGUGAGUUGGCCACACCGCAACCGCGGCGGUGGCGAUGCACGGCCUCGGCUAUAACCCCUUCAUGGUGAGCUUCUCCUUCUCUGCCCAAUUGCUGCCUCUACUGCCUAGACCAUGGCCGUGGUGAUCUUGGUCCUCUUCGUGUACUGGUAAUAUGACUUAGGUUCUUGAGGACGCUUGGAUUGAUGGCUAUGGUCUGCUACUUGAUUUGUGCUUUACUGAAAUUAGUUGGGGUAGUUGGUUACUGUUUAGGGUUCAUAUUUGGGCCUAGAUUUGUUGAUGUGCUAAUGCUCCGGUUGAUCCACUUGUCCAUACUCUAGUUCUAGUUCAUGCCUACGGAAUCGUCAUUGGGGAUUUGGUGCUGCUGGUGGUCCUAUGUGUUGCUGGUGGUCCUAUGUGCACUUGUUUGAUAUACUAGCAUUGUAUCCUUAACUGACAGUUAAACCAUUAACCUACCAUGCAUAUAGAUGUGUUCAUGUGGAAUUGAUGCUACUCUAACUCUGUGAUCAACUUGUGGUCAUGAUCUAGUUCUGGUUGUAGUUCUUGUUAUUUAAAUGUUCCUUUUAUUUCAGUUUCUCUUGCUGCAAGUAUAAUUACAUGCUUAUAUUCUUGUUGGCCGUAUCUGUGUUCAAUACAUAUUAGUUUUUAUUUAAAUACCAUGUACUGGUAUUUCUUGUUCUGUUUAGUACAUCAUCUUUUAGUGGUUUAGUUGUAUAUUGCACAUCACAUAGUCAUGGUAGUUGCAUGUGGUGACACUUCUUUUAUUGCUUUAGUUAUAUCAGAUGUUUCUUUUACAUGCUUAGUAAUUAACAGUAUCAUUGGUUUAAAUGAUAUAGCCCUUUAUUUAUAGAUACUUAUAUUGCUUUACCUGGUUCAGUUUAGAAUAGAUGCUCUCUUGGUCUUAGCUUUUCUCUCUUCCUUUCUUUCCUCCUCUUCUAAACUCUACUGAUAAGAACAGUUGCUCCUUGAUCUUAACCAAGCCCAUGAUGCUGGUCUGAGGCUCCUUGACCUUAACGACUUGGCUCUCCAAGCAACAAAAUCAGUUCAGCGGCGCUCUUGGAUCCUCUUUCUUGCUUAUUGGUCAGAUUCUGAAUCUAGAUUCUGCUAUUUUGGUUCAUAUUCCAUUGAUUUGGUAUGCUACAUCUACAUUGAUGCAUCAACUCUGCCCCAUAAUAUGGAUACAUGUUUGCAGGCAGUUUUCUUCGAUAGUUUUGUGUUGCCAUUGCUACCAGUCAUCAGAUUUUGGUAAGUUAUCUAACACUGCUGUUAGAGUCCAGAUGCGCCUUUUAGGUUUAGGAGCACCGCUGUCUAGCUCAGCAGGCGAGAGCUCUAAGUGUUGUUAUGUCUGAAAUUCCAUGGACAACCUUGUUUUGUUGGCAUAGUUAUUACUAGCCAUGCUCGGCAGUAUGACACACAUUGUGGCCGAUGGAUUUCGGUUUUCCAUGUGGUGUAAAAAGAAAUAUGUAGUAGUUUUUUUCCUAUUUAAUUGAUAACUACUUGGAUCGUGGAGGGUGGUGUUGAACGUGUAUGAGUGUUUGAUUUACUUAUUCCUCUCACAGAUGAGGAGAGUAGAAAGUAGCAGUUGGUAUUGCUUCUAGUGUAGCAGGCUAAAGCACUGAUCUUAGAAAAAUAAAUAGGUAUCCUAAACACCAUGAUUGUAAACGUGGAAGUCUGUUGUAUCAAACGAUUAUAUCGAAACGGUUUUGGCAAGAUGUGAUGGUCAACUGCACUAUGUGUGUCUCACUAGUAGUUGUAACAGGUGCUCAUUCUUCCUGAUGGACUGAAAUGCUUUUGUGCAUUACCUGUGUUUACACAGUGUAUUUUUUAUCUGUGGCACUUGCAGACUUGUGAAUCAAUCAAGAUGCAUUUACAAUCUUGAUCGUAAGAGCUUUCGUAAGAUAAGCUUGUGUCUAGCUUUGCUUCCUCACUUUGCUUCUAUUAUUCCAAUUAAUUGAAAAGGAUCCAAACAAGGCAGUUCCAUUGUUCCGAGCAGCUCUUAACAGUGGUGAACAAUUGAGAGUGCAUUGAAGGAUAUGGCUACUAUAUUGAAACAAGCAAACCGGGCUGAAGAAGCCAUCGAUGCGAUAAGAUCCUUCUGUGACCGUUGUCCCAAUGAAGCUCGGGAGUCUCUUAACAAUAUUCUUCUUGACCUAUACAAGAAAUGCGGUAGGACAAAAGAAACAGAUUGAAAUGCUGAUAGUGAAGCUGAGAAUGGUUGAUGUGGAUCUAGCUUCUGACCGGUGGAAAGCAAAGAUUUCUAAAUCUCAUGGAAGAGUAUUAUAUCUCUCUUUGAGGGAUGAAAAGGCAAGGUUGUUGGGUAACCUCGCCUGGGCCUAUAUGCAGCCUGAUAACUAUGAGGAGGCUGAAAUGCUCUACAAGUAUAUAUCUCGGCCUUGAAUUCGGCGUCCACGGCCAAACCCAGUAGGGAACACAUGGACAUGAAGCUACGGCGGCGACGAAUACGAUAUCGACAUUGGGCUGCGGCGACGAUGAUGACGACAACAUCCGCAUCGACACAGGGUUACGACGGCAACGAAGACGACAUCAACACCAUCAACACGGCCUUGUGGAGGCGCUGACGCCGACGACAUAGACGCGUGGCAUAUAUUGUGUGUGUGUGUGUGUGUGCGCAUGUGCGUGUGUUAAUUAUCUACAUCAGAUAUGUAUGAUUGAUGAUUGACUGUAUGCAUAACAUGUACGUAUUGUGAAAUGCAUGUCUAAACUGAAAUAGGUAGACUUUUAUUUUUUUUAAAUCCUAAUUUGUUACCAGUAGCGUGGGUGUAUCAUAGAAACGGUACUGCUAUUCCUUUACUAGUAGUGUGGGUGUGGA
rnacentral:rRNA from 1 species